rnacentral:rRNA from 1 species
GACGAACGCUGGCGGCGUGCCUAAUACAUGCAAGUCGAACGCACAGUUUAUACCGUAGCUUGCUACACCAUAAACUGUGAGUUGCGAACGGGUGAGUAACGCGUAGGUAACCUGCCUGGUAGCGGGGGAUAACUAUUGGAAACGAUAGCUAAUACCGCAUAAUAUUAAUUAUUGCAUGAUAAUUGAUUGAAAGAUGCAAUUGCAUCACUACCAGAUGGACCUGCGUUGUAUUAGCUAGUAGGUGAGGUAACGGGUCACCUAAGCGACGAUACAUAGCCGACCUGGGAGGGUGAUCGGCCAAAAUGGGACUGAGAAAAGGCCCAGACUCCUACGAGAGGGAGCAGUAGGGAAACUUCGGCAAUGGACGAAAGUCUGAACGAGCAACGCCGCGUGAGUGAAGAAGGUUUUCGGAUCGUAAAGCUCUGUUGUAAGAGAAGAACGGGUGUGAGAGUGGAAAGUUCACACUGUGACGGUAUCUUACCAGAAAGGGACGGCUAACUACGUG